CGUAGGUGGCGAGCGUUGUCCGGAUUUACUGGGCGUAAAGAGCGCGCAGGCGGUCGUACAAGUCGCGUGUGAAAGCCCCCGGCUCAACUGGGGAGGGUCACGCGAUACUGUUCGACUCGAAGGCAGGAGAGGGAAGCGGAAUUCCCGGUGUAGUGGUGAAAUGCGUAGAUAUCGGGAGGAACACCAGUGGCGAAGGCGACUUCCUGGCCUGUUCUUGACGCUGAGGCGCGAAAGCUAGGGUAGCAAACGGGAUUAGAUACCCCGGUAGUCCUAGCCGUAAACGAUGGACACUAGGUGUUGGUGGUAUCAACCCCGCCAGUGCCGAAGCUAACGCAUUAAGUGUCCCGCCUGGGGAGUACGGCCGCAAGGCUA
rnacentral:rRNA from 1 species